UCUGGCAAAAAAUUGUUAAAGCCUGAUCUUGUCAGAUCUCAGAAGCUAAGCAGGAUUGGGCUUGCUUAUUGCUUGGAUGGGAGACCACUGGGAAUAACAGGUGCCACAG
rnacentral:rRNA from 1 species